AACCUCUGCCUUGCUUUGCCCACCUGUGCGCGCAUCCCGGGGAGCUUGUCCCGUAGGCAGACCGUCAUCUCAGGCGCUGCCGGCUCGGCUGCCUGCUGCCCAGGUUUAACACUCUGCCAAAAGAUUUGGCAUCCCUGGGCGAGCUGCUGAAGGUUGAGCACGCUGAGCUAGACAAGCUCUUCUGGGAAGAUCAAAGGGCUGCAGCCUUCCUUUGGGGGUGGGAUAGAGGUGCUGGUGUUAUGAUAUCUUUGCUUUGAGGCAGCAUCGUUUGAUCUCGCCCCUUGCUAUGAUGACUGAUAUUGUCAGUAACUGGAAGCUGGAGCAAUUUGUGCUCCAGAAGUGUCUCCCCCCUAUUUGGUCCCCGGGAGCUUUCCAGGGACCGGAGGCCUACCAGCAGUUAUGUCAGCAGUGGGAGAGCUGGUCAGAGGAAUCGAAAAAGCCCAAGCCCACAAACAAGUGUAAGAAACGAGCUGCAUUGCAAGGUUUGCUGAUGGUGGGCAGGGAGUUGUCCAAAUUGCUUAAGGAGGCACUUGAGAGUGUGCAGACACUGGAACAGGCCAAGGGCGAGCUCAAAAUGCAAGUGGACAACUUGCGGGCGGAGGUGCAGGGCUUGUGYGGUGACUCUCUGAGGAGCGCGGUGGAAAUAACCCGGCUAGAGAACAAACUGGGUUAUGAAAAGCUGAAGACCGAGGAGUUAGAGAAGGAGGUUGGCAAAUGGAUAGGCGAGACGCAUGACGCGCAGAGCGCGGUGCGGGCGGUCCUGCAGGACGUGCAGCGGGACCGCGGCAGUGGCCCCGAUCACAAGGUGUGCCACGCUAAGAUCCAGGAGCUGCAGGCAGAGCUGGGGGUGUCGAGGGGCAUUGUGGCCGCGAUCCAGGGGAAAAGGACGAGAUUUGGUAACGGUGACAGUGAGGACUGCUUGGACCAGCACCCUCCGCACUACGACUAUGAGGAUGACGUGUGGGGAGCAAAUAGUCCUACGAGACCUUCUCCUUAUGCCCCCCUGAGGGAGGAGAUGUGUCAGCUGCAG
rnacentral:lncRNA from 1 species